rnacentral:rRNA from 1 species
GACGAACGUUGGCGGCGUGCUUAAUACAUGCAAGUCAACUGAAGCAGUGGUAGCAAUAUCGCUGUGGAGGUGGCGCACGGGUGAGUAACACGUAGGUAAUCUGCCUUCAGGUCUGGCAUAACUCCGGGAAACCGGGGCUAAUAGCAGAUGAUGCAGCGGCUCGACAUCGAGACAGUUGUUAAAGCUACGGCGCCUGAAGAUGAGCCUGCGUCUGAUUAGCUAGUUGGCGGGGUAACGGCCCACCAAGGCAACGAUCAGUAGCUGGUCUGAGAGGAUGAUCAGCCACACUGGAACUGAGACACGGUCCAGACUCCUACGGGAGGCAGCAGUAAGGAAUAUUGCUCAAUGGGAGAAAUCCUGAAGCAGCAACGCCGCGUGAGGGACGAAGGGCUUUUGCUUGUAAACCUCUGUAGUGAGAGAAAAAAAUCCCAAUCUUUGGGACAUGAUGGUAUCUCAAAAGUAAGCCCCGGCUAACUACGUG